GUGCUCACUUCGGUAGCACAGAUAAUAAAAUUGGAAUGAUACAUAGAAGAGUACCAGGACCCCCUGCGCAAGGAUGACAUGCAAAUUCGUGAAGUAUUUUAUAUUCAA
ensembl:snRNA U6 U6 spliceosomal RNA